rfam:Physcomitrella patens subsp. patens PHYPAscaffold_25 genomic scaffold, whole genome shotgun sequence.
GGACGUGAUGAUGAGAAAUUGUCGCCCCAGUCCUACCCGAACCCAUAAUGUGUUCGCUGAGGAUUGACUAUUUUUGAAUCUGAUUA